rnacentral:rRNA from 1 species
CUGACGCAGCGACGCCGCGUGAGUGAUGAAGGCCUUCGGGUCGUAAAGCUCUGUCCUGAGGGAAGAAGAAAGUGACGGUACCUGAGGAGGAAGCCCCGGUUAAUUACUUGCCACCAGCCGCGGU